UAUAUAUAUAUAAACAAUUAUAUUAAUUUAUUUCUAUGGAGUUUUGAAUGUUAUGUUGUUUGUUUUUACACCACGAUAAUAUUUUGUAUGUUGAUGCACUUGUAACGCUUUUUAUUUAAGAAAACAGUCCAUCAUAUAAGGGGUGUUACACCACUGUUUUCAACCAUCUAGAGUAGACUGUUUUAACCAUCUAGAGUAGACUGUUUCAACCAUCUAGAGUAGACUGUUUUAACCAUCUAGAGUAGACUGUUUUAACCAUCUAGAGUAGACUGUUUUCAACCAUCUAGAGUAGACUGUUUUAACCAUCUAGAGUAGACUGUUUCAACCAUCUAGAGUAGACUGUUUUAACCAUCUAGAGUAGACUGUUUUAACCAUCUAGAGUAGACUGUUUCAACCAUCUAGAGUAGACUGUUUUAACCAUCUAGAGUAGACUGUUUUAACCAUCUAGAGUAGACUGUUUUCAACCAUCUAGAGUAGACUGUUUUCAACCAUCUAGAGUAGACUGUUUUAACCAUCUAGAGUAGACUAGUUUCAACCAUCUAGAGUAGACUGUUUCAACCAUCUAUUGUAGACUGUUUAAACCAUCUAGAGUAGACUGUUUUCAACCAUCUAGAGUAGACUGUUUUCAACCAUCUAGAGUAGACUGUUUCAACCAUCUAGAGUAGACUGUUUCAACCAUCUAGAGUAGACUGUUUUCAACCAUCUAGAGUAGACUGUUUUCAACCAUCUCGACUCAGACACUUCCUAGUACAUCGUUCAUGUUAUACCACCACCUAGAGAAUAGACGUUAGCUCUGUGUCCAUCUCCUCCAUUAUGGGCGUUUUAACCCAAAAGACAAUGAGAGAGGGAGGGAAGUAAACCCAAGAGCAAAGCACAGAAUGAAGAAACAGAGGCAGUAUGUGUACUGUAGUCAGCACCAAGGCUACGUCGCUAGCUAGCUAGCUGUAAUCCCAGGGGCUGUUUGCUGUUGGUGAUGGUUCGUGUUAGCGAUGAGGCAGGGGUGUACAGAGAUGUAAUGGGUUGAGGGAGAUAGCCAUGUCUCCAAAAACCUAAGGUGAGUGUUCUGAAAGCUUUAUGGCUAACGUGGUACUUCAUUUCUCUCGACAACCCAGACUCAAGCCAUAUGUAGAACAUCAAACAUUGAUUUUGCAAUUGGUGCUCUCAUGGUUCAGUUGUCAAGAUAGACAAAGUGCCACGUUAGCCAUGAAGGUUCUGGGAAACUCUGAGUUCUGAGGUGUGUGGCAGGAAGUGAGAAAGGCUAAGGACAGCAGGUGAGGCAGGCUAAGAACAGGUGGUGUCUAGAUGCCUUAAGACGGUGUUUCAAAAGGGGUGUGUAUCAGUUUUAUGGUGUGACGUGACUGAAGAGGUUUUUAGUCGAUCAGACAGACAGUUGGUUUGGGUCGAGACGGGGCUGGUGUGAGAAUGAAAACCACUGACUAAAGGGUUACUGACUCAGUCUUUGGUCGGAUGACAGAACUCACCUCCUUGACGUAGACUCAAACCAACAUGUCUGAACAUCAUCAAGCCAACCAACAUUCGCACACAACCUCUCUCUCUAGGAGAGGUCCACCUCUCUCUCUAGGAGAGAUCCACCUCUCUCUCUAGGAGAGGUCCAUCUCUCUCUCUAGGAGAGGUCCAUCUCUCUCUUUAGGAGAGGUCCAUCUCUCUCUCUAGGAGAGGUCCAUCUCUCUCUCUAGGAAAAGUCCAUCAACUAAUAUUUGUUUUCUUUAACCAUAUGUGUAGAGCUGUGUUCAGAGGAGAGGAGUGACGGAAAGGAAAAUAAAGAUGAAUUUACUACUCUGUGAUUUGUGAUUUCUGUCUGUGUGUCUGUGUCCUGAUGGGGCCAGAUUACCACGAGGGAGAGAGAGAGAGAGUAGAGAGGGAACAAAAGAAAGAGAGAGAACGAAAGAGACAGAGAGAGAGAGAGAGACUGAAAGAACUGUUCAAGGAGUUUAAACAGAAGCCUUCUUUCUGUACAUGUGCGAGUGCUUGUGCGUUCCAAUGCACAGCUCUCCUUGAAAAAAAAAAAAAAAACGAUACACAUACAAUAGGUGAAAUGACUCCUAAAAUACGACAGCUUUAGACACACUCUCUAUGAUAGAAUAUAACAUAUGUCUAACCGGGGCUGUAAGGUUCAAAUUAAGCCAUGACUCCUGGCUGAACUUGUGCUCCAGUGAACCUGCCAACUACUGCACAGAAUAG
rnacentral:lncRNA from 1 species